rnacentral:ncRNA from 2 species
UGCGCUACCUCGGGGUGCCGCGCGAUCCGCGCCGGCUGAGAUGCGACACACGCGAACCCGUUGAACCUGACCCGGUUAACACCGGCGGAGGGAAGGUCACGGCCCAAGGC